rnacentral:rRNA from 1 species
UAGGGAGUAUUGGACAAUGGGGGAAACCCUGAUCCAGCCAUGCCGCGUGAGUGACGAAGGUCUUCGGACUGUAAAACUCUUUUCUGAGGGAAGAAACACUUUCGGAGGAAAUGCCGUUUGUUUGACGGUACCUCAGGAAUAAGGGACGGCUAACUCCGUGCCAGCAGCCGCGGUAAUACGGAGGUCCCAAGCGUUGUUCGGAAUUACUGGGCGUAAAGGGAGCGCAGGCGGACUGGUCCGUCCAAAGUGGAAUCCCGGGGCUUAACCUCGGAACGCCUUUGGAUACCACCAGUCUUGGGUUCGUGAGAGGAAAGCGGAAUUCAGGGUGUAGCGGUGAAAUGCUUAGAUAUCCUGAGGAACACCGAUGGCGAAAGCAGCUUUCUGGCACGACACCGACGCUGAGGCUCGAAAGCGUGGGUAGCAAACGGGAUUAGAUACCCCGGUAGUCC